rnacentral:miRNA from 1 species
GCUCCGCCGGGACGGGCCGGGCUGGGCUGGGCUUGUUUGCCCCGCUCCGGGACGGGGGCUCCAGCCUGGGCCGCUUCGGGGGCUUCG